UAAUAUAUGUAAAAUAUAUCGAAUUAUUUUAUGCACUUAGGUCAACAUUUUUACAUGUCUUUGAUUUAUGCACUUGACUGGAAAUUUCCUUUAUGUCUUUCAUUAAUUUCCAACAUCGAUUUUACAAGGAUUAUUUUGCGAUUGCGACCUGUACAAAUUAAUUUUGAAGUGUUAAAGCACAAACAGUGAAGUACCGCCACCAGUCGAGAGGGGCAGCACCUCAACAAGACGGAAGAAUUGUAAACCGGAAGAUACCGUGUCCUGCCAGAGAGCACUCGUCGUCACGCGUUUUCAGUGUUUGAAGAGAGGAUCAAGAUACAGAUUUAAGACAAAAGGCAUCAAUUACGAUCGUUUAAAUAACUUGCCCAGAGCACAGCAUCUCGUGUACAGCAUGAAGUUUUCAGCUAUCAAGACUUCUAGAGAGUCCAGAAUGAAAACCAAGCACUGCACUGCAAAAAAAAAAAAAUGAAUGUCUUUCUUAGUUUUCUUUUGUCUUGUUUUCUAAUAUUAAUAUCUGAAAAUUCUU